UCUCAGGCAUCUUGAAUUUAGGGCCCUUUAGUUUCGCAUCUGGACCUUCGAUAUUCACAUCAGGAACAUCAAUGUCCACCUUGGGUCCUGAGACGUCAAGGUCAGCCUUGGGCAGGUUCACAUCCACAUCUGGGCCCUCUCCUUUGAAGCCAGGCAUGCUGAACUUGGGCAUUUUCACCUUGGGCAUCUUCAGGUGCCAGUCUGGGCCUUGAACAUCAACAUCUGGAGCAUCAAUGUCCACCUUGGGUCCUGAGACAUCAAGGUCAGCCUUG
rnacentral:lncRNA from 1 species